UACGUAGGAUCCAAGCGUUGUCCGGAUUUACUGGGUGUAAAGGGUGCGCAGGCGGACUGGUGAGUCUGGGGUGAAAUCUCGCCGCUUAACGGCGAAACUGCCUUAGAUACUAUCAGUCUUGAAUCAGCGAGAGGUUCGUGGAAUUCCGAGUGUAGCAGUGAAAUGUGUAGAUAUUCGGAAGAACACCAGUGGCGAAGGCAGCGAACUGGCGCUCGAUUGACGCUCAGGCACGAAAGCAAUGGGGAUCAAACAGG
rnacentral:rRNA from 1 species